UACGAAGGGGCGAGCGUUGUUCGGAAUUACUGGGCGUAAAGGGCGCGCAGGCGGUCCUUCAAGUCAGAUGUGAAAGCCCCGGGCUCAACCUGGGAACUGCAUUUGAGACUGGAGGACUUGAGGACGGGAGAGGAGAGUGGAAUUCCCAGUGUAGAGGUGAAAUUCGUAGAUAUUGGGAAGAACACCGAUGGCGAAGGCAGCUCUCUGGACCGUUACUGACGCUGAGGCGCGAAAGCGUGGGGAGCAAACAGGG
rnacentral:rRNA from 1 species